UUAGAUCAGAAGCGAGAAUGUUGACAUGAGUAGCGAUAAAGAGGGUGAGAGACCCUCUCGCCGUAAGUCCAAGGGUUCCUGCUUAAAGCUAAUCUGAGCAGGGUAAGCCGGCCCCUAAGGCGAGGCCGAAAGGCGUAGUCGAUGGGAACCACGUUAAUAUUCGUGGGCCAGGAGGAAGUGACGGAUCUCGAAGGUAGUUUGCCCUUAUCGGAUUGGGUGGGCUGCUCAGAGGUUCCAGGAAAUAGCCCUCCAUCAGACCGUACCCUAAACCGACACAGGUGGACUGGUAGAGUAUACCAAGGCGCUUGAGAGAACCACGUUAAAGGAACUCGGCAAAAUGCCUCCGUAAGUUCGCGAGAAGGAGGCCCCAUAUCUGGGCAACCAGGUGUGGGGGGCACAAACUAGGGGGUGGCGACUGUUUACUUAAAACACAGGGCUGUGCGAAGCCGUAAGGCGACGUAUACAGUCUGACGCCUGCCCGGUGCUGGAAGGUUAAAAGGAGGGGUGCAAGCUCUGAAUUGAAGCCCCAGUAAACGGCGGCCGUAACAAUAACGGUCCUAAGGUAGCGAAAUUCCUUGUCGGGUAAGUUCCGACCUGCACGAAUGGCGUAACGAUCUCCCCGCUGUCUCUAACGUGGACUCAGCGAAAUUGAACUGUGUGUCAAGAUGCACGCUACCCGCGGUUAGACGGAAAGACCCCAUGCACCUUUACUCCAGCUUUGCACUGGUAUCAGGAUUGUGAUGUGCAGGAUAGGUGGUAGGCAUCGAAGCGGGGACGCCAGUUCUCGUGGAGCCUCCCUUGAGAUACCACCCUUCGCCAUCUUGAUAUCUAACCGCGGCCCGUUAUCCGGGUCCGGGACCCUGCAUGGUGGGGAGUUUGACUGGGGCGGUCGCCUCCCAAACAGUAACGGAGGCGCGCGAAGGUAGGCUCAGACCGGUCGGAAAUCGGUCGUUGAGUGCAAUGGCAGAAGCCUGCCUGACUGCAAGUCUGACAAGACGAGCAGAGACGAAAGUCGGUCAUAGUGAUCCGGUGGUCCCAAGUGGGAGGGCCAUCGCUCAACGGAUAAAAGGUACGCUGGGGAUAACAGGCUGAUGAUGCCCAAGAGUCCAUAUCGACGGCAUCGUUUGGCACCUCGAUGUCGGCUCAUCUCAUCCUGGGGCUGGAGCAGGUCCCAAGGGUAUGGCUGUUCGCCAUUUAAAGAGGUACGUGAGCUGGGUUUAGAACGUCGUGAGACAGUUCGGUCCCUAUCUGCCGUGGGUGUAGGAGACUUGAGAAGAGUUGCCCCUAGUACGAGAGGACCGGGGUGAACAAACCACUGGUGGACCAGUUGUCGUGCCAACGGCAGUGCUGGGUAGCUAUGUUCGGACAGGAUAACCGCUGAAGGCAUCUAAGCGGGAAGCCCCCUUCAAAACAAGGUCUCCCUUGAGAGCCGUGGAAGACCACCACGUCGAUAGGCCGGAGGUGUAAGUGCAGCAAUGCAUUCAGCUGACCGGUACUAAUUGCUCU
rnacentral:rRNA from 1 species